GUAGGUGAACCUGCGGAAGGAUCAUUAUUGAAUGAACUUGGCAUGGUUGUUGCUGGUCCUCUCGGGGGCAUGUGCACACCUGUCAUCUUUAUCUUUCCACCUGUGCACAUUUUGUAGGCCAAAAAAUUUCCCGAGGCAACUCGGUUUGGGGGACUGCUGUGCAUCACUGCCGGCUUCCCCUGGAUUUUUGGGCCUAUGUUUUCACAUACACCAUAAGAAUGUAAUAGAAUGUUAUAUUGGGCUUUGUUGCCUAUAAACUAUAUACAACUUUCAGCAACGGAUCUCUUGGCUCUC
rnacentral:misc_RNA from 1 species